rnacentral:lncRNA from 1 species
UUUUCUAGCUUUCCGAUUAAGUUUGCAGCCCCUGCAGGCGUCCUUGGUGGGAAAAAUUCCAAAGAGAAAAAAUUCUUUUCCAAUGCGAUACUCUGUUUGAUCUUUUCAAUGAGAGAGAGUGGUGUCGAUGUUCCUGACGAUGGCGAUGGACAUUUUCUCUUGGUCAGGACGCCACUCUCGAAUGUGUCUUGCACCAUCAUUUAGAAUUCACUAGAGAAACAAAAGAUAUGAGAAU